rnacentral:rRNA from 1 species
UACGUAGGGUGCAAGCGUUAAUCGGAAUUACUGGGCGUAAAGCGUGCGCAGGCGGUGAUGUAAGACAGUUGUGAAAUCCCCGGGCUCAACCUGGGAACUGCAUCUGUGACUGCAUCGCUGGAGUGCGGCAGAGGGGGGAUGGAAUUCCGCGUGUAGCAGUGAAAUGCGUAGAUAUGCGGAGGAACACCGAUGGCGAAGGCAAUCCCCUGGGCCUGCACUGACGCUCCAUGCACGAAAGCGUGGGGAGCAAACAGG